rnacentral:rRNA from 1 species
AUUUGUUGCCUCGGCGGUGCCUGUUCCGACAGCCCGCCAGAGGACCCCAAACCCUGAUUACAUUUAAGAAGUCUUCUGAGUAAACCGAUUAAAUAAAUCAAAACUUUCAACAACGGAUCUCUUGGUUCUGGCAUCGAUGAAGAACGCAGCGAAAUGCGAUAAGUAAUGUGAAUUGCAGAAUUCAGUGAAUCAUCGAAUCUUUGAACGCACAUUGCGCCCGCUAGUAUUCUGGCGGGCAUGCCUGUCCGAGCGUCAUUUCAACCCUCAAGCCCCCGGGCUUGGUGUUGGGGAUCGGCGAGCCUCCGCGCCCGCCGUCCCCUAAAUCUAGUGGCGGUCUCGCUGUAGCUUCCUCUGCGUAGUAGCACACCUCGCACUGGGAAACAGCGCGGCCACGCCGUUAAACCCCCAACUUCUGAACGUUUGACCUCGGAUCAGGUAGGAAUACCCGCUGAACUUAAGCAUAUCAAU